rnacentral:rRNA from 1 species
CUGAGUGGCGAACGGGUGAGUAACGCGUGGGUAACCUGCCUCUCACAGGGGGACAACAGUUGGAAACGACUGCUAAUACCGCAUAAGCGCUCGGUAUCGCAUGAUACAGUGUGAAAAGCUGAGGCGGUGCGAGAUGGACUCGCGUCUGAUUAGAUAGUUGGUGGGGUAACGGCCUACCAAGUCGACGAUCAGUAGCCGACCUGAGAGGGUGACCGGCCACAUUGGGACUGAGACACGGCCCAAACUCCUACGGGAGGCAGCAGUGGGGAAUAUUGCACAAUGGGGGAAACCCUGAUGCAGCGACGCCGCGUGAACGAUGAAGUAUUUCGGUAUGUAAAGUUCUAUCAGCAGGGAAGAAAAUGACGGUACCUGACUAAGAAGCUCCGGCUAAAUACGUGCCAGCAGCCGCGGUAAUACGUAUGGAGCAAGCGUUAUCCGGAUUUACUGGGUGUAAAGGGAGCGUAGACGGCAGAGCAAGUCUGAAGUGAAAGCCCGGGGCUCAACCCCGGAACUGCUUUGGAAACUAUUCAGCUGGAGUGUGGGAGAGGUAAGCGGAAUUCCCAGUGUAGCGGUGAAAUGCGUAGAUAUUAGGAGGAACACCAGUGGCGAAGGCGGCUUUCUGGACGAUGACUGACGUUGAGGCUCGAAAGCGUGGGGAGCAAACAGGAUUAGAUACCCUGGUAGUCCACGCUGUAAACGAUGAAAACGAGGUGUCGGGCAGCAGAGCUGUUCGGUACCGCAGUUAACACACUAAGUAGUCCACCUGGGGAGUACGUUCGCAAGAACGAAACUCAAAGGAAUUGACGGGGACCCGCACAAGCGGUGGAGCAUGUGUGUUUAAUUCGAAGCAAUGCGCAGAACCUAACGCUGGUCUUGACAUCCCGGAGACCGUUCUUUAAUCGGAGUUUUCUUUUGCGGACAUGCAGACAGGUGGCGCAUGGUUGUCGUCAGCUUGUGUCUGUGAGAUGUGGGGUUAAGUCCAGCAACGAGCGCCACCCCACUCUUUAGUAGCCAGCAUUUAGGAUGGGCACUGGUAGAGAGAUGCCCCGGGAUAACAUUGGAGGAAGGUGGGGACGCCUUCAAAUCAUACAACUCCCUGAUGUCCAGGGGUACCCCCGUGGUACAAUGGUGUAAACAAAGCGAAGCAGAGCCGCGAGGGUGACCAAAUCUCAAAAAGAACGUCUCAGUUUGGAUCGUAGUUUGCACCUUGAGUACAAGAAGAAGGAAUCGCUAGGAAUGACGAAUCAGAAUGUGGCGGGGAACAAGUUUUCGUCUUGAGCCCGCACCAACCUUCA